rnacentral:rRNA from 1 species
UACGUAGGCAGCGAGCGUUGUUCGGAAUUACUGGGCGUAAAGAGUGUGUAGGCGGUGCUCUAAGUCUGUCGUGAAAUCUCCCGGCUUAACCGGGAGCUGCGGCGGAAACUGGUGUGCUAGAGGGUGGGAGAGGUAAGCGGAAUUCCUGGUGUAGCGGUGAAAUGCGCAGAUAUCAGGAGGAACACCGGCUGGCGGAAGGCGGGUCUCUGGGCAGUAACUGACGCUGAGGAGCGAAAGCGUGGGGAGCGAACAGG